UACGUAGGGAGCAAGCGUUGUCCGGAAUCGUUGGGCGAAAGCGCGCGUAGGCGGCUCGAUAAGUCUGUUGUGAAAGUCAAAGGCUCAACCUUUGAAUGCCGAUGGAUACUGUCGAGCUAGAGUCCGGAAGAGGCGAGUGGAAUUCCUGGUGUAGCGGUGGAAUGCGCAGAUAUCAGGAGGAACACCAACGGCGAAGGCAGCUCGCUGGGACGGUACUGACGCUAAGGCGCGAAAGCGUGGGGAGCGAACAGG
rnacentral:rRNA from 1 species